AUUGAACGCUGGCGGCAGGCUUAACACAUGCAAGUCGAGCGAGCGGCGGACGGGUGAGUAAUGUCUGGGAAACUGCCUGAUGGAGGGGGAACACCACUGGAAACGGUAGAUAAUACCGCAUACCAUCAGAUGUGCCCAGAUGGGAUGAGCUAGUGGGUGGGGUAAUGGCGCACUUAGGCGACGAUCCCUAGCUGGUCUGAGAGGAUGACCAGCCACCCUGGAUCUGAGACAGGGUCCAGAUUCCUACGGGAGGGAGCAGUGGGGAAUAUUGCACAAUGGGCGCAAGCCGGAUGCAGCCGUGCCGCGUGUGUGAAGAAGGCCUUCGGGUUGUAAAGCACUUUCAGCGAUGAGGCGUUACUCGCAGAAGGAGCACCGGCUAACUCCUUGCCAGCCGCCGCGGUAAUUC
rnacentral:rRNA from 1 species